AACGCACAUUGCGCCCAUUAGUAUUCUAGUGGGCAUGCCUGUUCGAGCGUCAUUAAGUCCAUUAAGCCUAGUUGCUUAGCGUUGGGAGCCUGCGUACGCAGCUCCUCAAAACUAGUGGCGGAGUUAGCGUAUACUCUAGGCGUAGUAAUUAACCACUCGCUUCUGCGUUGCGCUGGCGCCUGCCGUAAAACCCCCAAUUCUUAAAGGUUUGACCUCGGAUCAGGUAGGAAUACCCGCUGAACUUAA
rnacentral:misc_RNA from 1 species